UUAUGAUGAGACAUACAGCUGGCACCAGUCCUAGAAAGACUUGUACUCUUUUUGCUGCGGAAUAGCUUUGCACGAGAUACAGUUCUCUAUAUCUGAU
rfam:Pseudocercospora musae strain CBS 116634 scaffold32, whole genome shotgun sequence.